rnacentral:misc_RNA from 1 species
GAUGAAGAACGCAGCGAAAUGCGAUAAGUAAUGUGAAUUGCAGAAUUCAGUGAAUCAUCGAAUCUUUGAACGCACAUUGCGCCCCCUGGUAUUCCGGGGGGCAUGCCUGUCCGAGCGUCAUUACAACCCUCAAGCUCAGCUUGGUGUUGGGCCCCGCCGCCCCGGCGGGCCCUAAAGUCAGUGGCGGUGCCGUCCGGCUCCGAGCGUAGUAAUUCUUCUCGCUCUGGAGGUCCGGUCGUGUGCUCGCCAGCAACCCCCAAUUUUUUUCAGGUUGACCUCGGAUCAGGUAGGGAUACCCGCUGAACUUAAGCAUAUAAAUAAGCGGAGGA